rnacentral:rRNA from 1 species
UGGGGAAUAUUGGACAAUGGGCGAAAGCCUGAUCCAGCCAUGCCGCGUGUGUGAAGAAGGUCUUCGGAUUGUAAAGCACUUUAAGUUGGGAGGAAGGGCAGUAAGCGAAUACCUUGCUGUUUUGACGUUACCGACAGAAUAAGCACCGGCUAACUCUGUGCCAGCAGCCGCGGUAAUACAGAGGGUGCAAGCGUUAAUCGGAAUUACUGGGCGUAAAGCUCGCGUAGGUGGUUCGUUAAGUUGAAUGUGAAAGCCCCGGGCUCAACCUGGGAACUGCAUCCAAGACUGGCGAGCUAGAGUAGGGCAGAGGGUGGUAGAAUUUCCUGUGUAGCGGUGAAAUGCGUAGAUAUAGGAAGGAACACCAGUGGCGAAGGCGACCACCUGGGCUCAUACUGACACUGAGGUGCGAAGGCGUGGGGAGCAAACAGG